AUUACCGGCAUCUGAUUUACCGAGAUGUAAAGAACAUUGCCUGGUACAAUUCCACUAUUUGGCUUAUUUAAAGUGCGGGUAGUCAUGUUGAUGCUCACUUUAUCUAAGCUUGGUUGCAGAGCUGGAAAUAGUCUUUUCCCACUUCUAGCAGCAUCCUUUUCUCUUUUUCCCUUUUUUUAUUUUGUGUCGGGGAAUGGCAGCGUUUCGCUGAAUGGCUGCAGUGAUGUAAUUGUCGGCCG
rnacentral:lncRNA from 1 species